GACGAACGCUGGCGGCGUGCCUAAUACAUGCAAGUAGAACGCUGAAGGAGGAGCUUGCUUCUCUGGAUGAGUUGCGAACGGGUGAGUAACGCGUAGGUAACCUGCCUGGUAGCGGGGGAUAACUAUUGGAAACGAUAGCUAAUACCGCAUAAUAGUAGAUGUUGCAUGUCAUUUGCUUAAAAGUUGCAAUUGCAUCACUACCAGAUGGACCUGCGUUGAUUUAGCUAGUUGUUGGGGUAACGGCUCACCAAGGCGACGAUACAUAGCCGACCGGAGCGGGUGAUCGGCCACAUGGGGACGGGGACACGGCCCAGACUCCUCCGGGAGGCAGCAGUAGGGAAUCUUCGGCAAUGGACGGAAGUCUGACCGAGCAACGCCGCGUGAGUGAAGAAGGUUUUCGGAUCGUAAAGCUCUGUUGUAAGAGAAGAACGGGUGUGAGAGUGGAAAGUUCACACUGUGACGGUAUCUUACCAGAAAGGAACGGCUAACUACGU
rnacentral:rRNA from 1 species